AGUGAACGCUGGUGGUAGGCCUAACACAUGCAAGUCGAACGGCAGCACAGUAAGAGCUUGCUCUUACGGGUGGCGAGUGGCGGACGGGUGAGGAAUACAUCGGAAUCUACUUUUUCGUGGGGGAUAACGUAGGGAAACUUACGCUAAUACCGCAUACGACCUACGGGUGAAAGCAGGGGACCUUCGGACCUUGCGCGAUUGAAUGAGCCGAUGUCGGAUUAGCUAGUUGGCGGGGUAAAGGCCCACCAAGGCGACGAUCCGUAGCUGGUCUGAGAGGAUGAUCAGCCACACUGGAACUGAGACACGGUCCAGACUCCUACGGGAGGCAGCAGUGGGGAAUAUUGGACAAUGGGCGCAAGCCUGAUCCAGCCAUACCGCGUGGGUGAAGAAGGCCUUCGGGUUGUAAAGCCCUUUUGUUGGGAAAGAAAAGCAGCAGGUUAAUACCCCGCUGUUCUGACGGUACCCAAAGAAUAAGCACCGGCUAACUUCGUG
rnacentral:rRNA from 1 species